GACGUAGGGCGCGAGCGUUGUCCGGAUUUAUUGGGCGUAAAGAGCUCGUAGGCGGCUUGUCGCGUCGUCCGUGAAAACCCGGGGCUCAACUCCGGGCUUGCGGGCGAUACGGGCAGGCUGGAGUUCGGUAGGGGAGACUGGAAUUCCUGGUGUAGCGGUGAAAUGCGCAGAUAUCAGGAAGAACACCCGUGGCGAAAGCGGCUCUCUGGAACGGUACUGACGCUGAGACGCGAAAGCGUGGGGAGCGAACAGG
rnacentral:rRNA from 1 species